AAAUUGAAGAGUUUGAUCAUGGCUCAGAUUGAACGCUGGCGGCAGGCCUAACACAUGCAAGUCGAACGGUAACAGGAAGCAGCUUGCUGCUUCGCUGACGAGUGGCGGACGGGUGAGUAAUGUCUGGGAAACUGCCUGAUGGAGGGGGAUAACUACUGGAAACGGUAGCUAAUACCGCAUAACGUCGCAAGACCAAAGAGGGGGACCUUCGGGCCUCUUGCCAUCGGAUGUGCCCAGAUGGGAUUAGCUUGUUGGUGGGGUAACGGCUCACCAAGGCGACGAUCCCUAGCUGGUCUGAGAGGAUGACCAGCCACACUGGAACUGAGACACGGUCCAGACUCCUACGGGAGGCAGCAGUGGGGAAUAUUGCACAAUGGGCGCAAGCCUGAUGCAGCCAUGCCGCGUGUAUGAAGAAGGCCUUCGGGUUGUAAAGUACUUUCAGCGGGGAGGAAGGGAGUAAAGUUAAUACCUUUGCUCAUUGACGUUACCCGCAGAAGAAGCACCGGCUAACUCCGUGCCAGCAGCCGCGGUAAUACGGAGGGUGCAAGCGUUAAUCGGAAUUACUGGGCGUAAAGCGCACGCAGGCGGUUUGUUAAGUCAGAUGUGAAAUCCCCGGGCUCAACCUGGGAACUGCAUCUGAUACUGGCAAGCUUGAGUCUCGUAGAGGGGGGUAGAAUUCCAGGUGUAGCGGUGAAAUGCGUAGAGAUCUGGAGGAAUACCGGUGGCGAAGGCGGCCCCCUGGACGAAGACUGACGCUCAGGUGCGAAAGCGUGGGGAGCAAACAGGAUU
rnacentral:rRNA from 1 species